AGAGAAAGUGUGGUUGUGGUAAACAUUGUGGCAAUCGAGUGGUGCAACGGGGCAUAAGUUAUAAUAUGCAGGUGUUUAUGACGCCUGAAGGAAAAGGGUGGGGUCUGCAAGCACUGGAUGAACUGCCUAAAGGUGCAUUUGUAUGUGCUCCUUGAUUCUGAUUGGAGCUCCAUGUGUGUGAAGGAUGAUGAAGCUCUUUGUUUGGAUUCAACGACCUUUGGAAACAUUGCUAGGUUUAUCAACCAUAGGUUGCUGCUGAUUAUAAAGCAGCUAGCUUCGAUCCAGAUAUUAUGGAGCGCCGAAGGAUGCAGUCAGAGACACUUUCUGCCGUAUUUGAGAUAUAUUUUCGUAUUCUCAAGCAUACUAUGCAGUCAAUUGUGCCCAGGUGAUUUCAUGUGUCAUUUUGUAUGGUUUUGACACUAUAGUGAAAUAUUCGAACAUGGUAGGGCAUAUUGGUCUUGGUGCGUACUACCGUGUCAAAGCAAAUGUUUUAUCAGACACUGAAACUGGGGUUUCAAUAUUGGUCAGGUCUUCAGAUUGACAUGAAAAAAUUCAUAGGACCAAUUUAAGGUGUGGUUCUUAAUUAUAAGUGAUGCUGUCCAUUUGCUGUGUUGAUUUAAUCUUUCUCUAUAAUCAACCUAAAAUAUGUGCAUAAAGUUGAGUUAGAAAUUGUCUUUGUGAAUGGUAUCUAACGGGAUACUGUGAUCACUUCAUUCUUUCUGUUUGUUUUACAGACCUAAUGGAGAUUCUGGUACAACUCAUGUGACUGAGGCUCACCCACUCCUUGGACCAUGUUUGGAUGGUCUAGGAAAAUUUUCUCACCUGAUUGACUUGGAUUAUAUUGGAGAUCUCAUGAAUUACCUUAAAAAGCUUGCAUGUUCUUGUGGAAAAUCGGACAGUUCAGGAAAACGCGUACUGUCUCGGAAAGACUUGCUGUUGCAUCAUUGCUUUUAAAGUAACGAGGAACAAUCUCGAUGCUUUGAAUGUUGAUUUGCAAGAUUUUUUUGUUCAGCUAUACAACCUCAUACUUGAAUACAGCCCUGGAAGAGAUCAGGGUGAGGUGCUAGCUGAAGCUCUAAAGAUGAUGCUGUGCAAUGAUAGGCACUCACUUGACAUGCAGAAGGCUGCAGCGUUCAUAAAGCGUUUAGCCACAUUCUUGUUAUGCUUUGAGUCUGCAAAGUCCAUGGCUGCCUUGGUCACUUUAAAGCAUCUCCUAUUAAAUGCCGGGUUUUGUUGGAAAAUGAUCCUGGAGGUGGCUCAGUAUCAGGUUCUGUUGCAGUAAGCAAUUUACUGCUUCCAUGCAGAACCCUUAAUUGAUGCAUGAUAUGUUGGAUUUAAAAUGGAGAUGAAGGAAGUAAGGCUAAAAAGAGAAGUGUCUCCUUUCUCCGUGAUGCAAUUUUGGGUGCAUAAGAGAGAUGAACGCAUGCUGUCAAGGUCCAGAAGGUUCUAAAAUUCCACCAAUGGAAAAGUCUCAAAAUGCUUUAACUGUUGGUCCAUCAUUACGACUUCAAGGAUUGUCAAAGUUCUCAACAAACUUGCUUCAGCUCGAGCUUCAGGAGCAGGUAGCGGCAGCAGAGUCUUGACAGAUUUGGUAGAGGGUCUAGAAGAAGCAGCCAUUGCUGUAGAAUUGAGGUUGAAAAUCAACCAGAGUCAUCCGGACUUAAAGGGAGGGUACGUGGUUUCUUGGUUUCUAGCAAUGUCGUUUUCUUUUUCCUUCUCUAAGAUCCUGAUAGUGUAGAGGUUACAGAUCUUUCUGAGACUAUGGAGAGACAGUGUUGAAGCACUUGGAGAACUCUAUUGAUUUGGACCCAAAGCUUCAGAAAGCUCCAGUAAAUUAUGAAGGAGUCCGGGUAUCUGGGUUUGGAGGAUGGUUCCUUCCGAGGCUCUCGCUUUAUGAUCCUGUUCUUCCUCUUAACAUUGAGGCACCAACUCACGAUGACGCUGUAAAACUUGGACUUGCCGUGCUUGGGGCUAUUAAGGAGUUUGCAGCUUUGGAUACAUCCACUUUAGACAAGUUUGUUCAAGUAUCAUGAGCCGAUGAUGCAGAGCGCUUUGGUACAAGUAUCUUUCGGCACAUUAUACUGGCAGUUAAAGUCGGCUUUGGCGUCUACCUCUGUACAGUACGUAUAAUCAAUGCGUCAAUCUCUGAUUCUGAGGAGGUUCAUUUUCCAGAUGGUUUUGGUCACAGGCACUCAAAAUACUACUUGAUGGCUAUGUUUACUUUAGUUUUUACUUAUGUUCCAUGUAUGCAACAGAGAUGUUCUGAUAAAUAAGAAACGUUCUUCGACUACAGAAUUUGUCGGAGGGAUGUUUGAAGUUGUGAUGCAACUAGUUUUUCUCGUUUUUAUAAUGUUCGAUUAAUUUUGA